rnacentral:lncRNA from 1 species
AAUUUUACACUAAACGAGAAAUUUACGAAGUAAUAGAAAUGAAAAAUUAAGCAACCUGGUCGCCGACUUUCCAUCUAGAGACGUUUUUACCAACGGACAGGAUGGUUCCGGAACAUUCGAGACCCGGGUGAGGGCUGGCGCCUUUGGGUGGAGGGUAGGAGCCUUUUCGUUGAAGAGUGUCGGCCCGGUUCAGGGCAGUAGCUUCGACUUUGAUCAACACUUCGUCGUCUUUGAUUUGAGGGUCUUCUACUUCUUGCAACUGCAGCACUUCUGGGCUACCGGGUUGAGUUAUCACUAUUGCCUUCAUUGUGCCUACACUUUCCAGAGUAGAAGUAAAUGAUUCCAAAAUAUUUAUUUAUACAAUUCUAAUGCAAAUGAUGAUGUUUUUCCCAUUUCCCAUUUCCCCUUUUGUCUUCAUGAAAAAUUGAAAGCUGAAAUACCAGGAUACACAAAUCCGCUGUCUAUACGGAAAAUAGGACAAAUUUACAUCCAGCCCCUUGUAAUUAGCAUUAAGUAUAUUUGUUUCUCAUAAGUUUUGAUUUAUAACACAAGUUGAAUCUUUAAAAAUACUCUUAGCAUUUUUUUUGAGAAAAAAAUUAUUUCAAAUUUAUACUUACACAAAUUUUACUUAAGAACUAUUGUUUUCUUCUUCGUCUCUCUUAUUUAAAAAAUUAUGACUUUAGUGCUUUCUUUCUUAUGAAAUAGAUGAAAUAAAAUAUUAAUUUGUACUAACUAAAAGCAAUCCUAUUUUAUAAGUUUUAUACUAAAAUCUAAUUUAAAAUGCUCUACUGCAUUCAUAGAAAAAAAAAAAUCCAUCAUAUUACCAUAUCAUAAGUUUUUAUUAGUUUUACUUUAAAUAAUCGUCACAAUUAAUUUAUAUAAUUUUAGAAGUCUAUCAUUAUUAAUUCUUAAUAUUAAUAUUUUAAUAUAUUUUUAAUUAAUUAAAUUAAUUACUAUAUUUAUGUGGAAUGUUAAUUCAAAAGAGUUUACACGAUCUAACAGAAAAAUAAAAGUGGAAAGGAAAAAAAAACAACUGCUGAUAUUCUAAGCAAAACAAAGUACCAAGUACCAACUACCAAGCCAUACCAUCACGGGGACUUAACUGUCAUAAAAUGAAACUCGACGGAUCUUACCAUAGAUUUAUGAAAAAAGAGAAAAAAAAAUUAUGUCGUCUAAUAUACGUUUUAAUUUAUUUUGUAGGAAUACCCGUUCUAAAUCUAAGUCUAGUAAAUAAUUAUAAAAAAAUUAUAUAAUUUUUAAAAAUUUCAAAAAUUGUUAAGAAUUAAUUAACUAAAUUUAUCUUAAAUUAUUUUUUGUAACCUAAUUUUUUUAUUAUAUUUAACCGUUAAAAUUAUUUUAGUUUAAAUUUAAAUUGAUUAUUUUAUUCUUAAAAGAUAAAAGUAACUUUAAUUUUUUAAUUUUUAUAAAAAAAAUUAUUAUUUCAAAUUGAUGUGUCAAAAAAAUUUCAAAUAGUAAAUUAUAAACAUAGAAUUACAGUAAAAAACGUUAUCUCUUAUAAUUUUUUUAUUCAACUAUUUUUCAUCCUUUCGUUUUUUAAUCUCCUUCCAAGCACACAGUUAGGUAAGAGCGUAAGACAGUUAAAACAGUACCAGCGUCUUGUUGAUAAAAUCUGGUAUGUAUAAUUUUCUUUUUCAAUUAUUGUUUAUACAAGCGAGUCAAUAUCAUUUACAUUUACAAGUUUUUUAUGUCCGUUUGGGUGAGAAAAUUUAGAAAAAUAUUAAUAAUAAAGCAUUGUCAGUUCAGUUAUCUUUUUCGAUAUAUAAUUCAAAAAAAUCAAUUUCCCUAGUAAUGUUUUGUUAAAACAGGUACGGGUGGGUCUGGGCUCAUGUGGAUUUGGAGAGCACUAAUUCUUCUCCAACUGGUUAAUGGAGUUCUGGGUUGGGGAAAGGAAGGUCAUUUUGCUAUUUGCAAGAUCGCAGAGGUUAGGAUUUUUUUUCUCUGGUUUUUGUACUUUUUCUUAAGCUGGUUAUUUUGCUAAUCAUGCUCUUUAGUAGUUCAUAAUUAAUAGAUUUGUAAGGAUGUUGAGGGUAUUCAAUUUUAUGACUUGAUGUGAUGAGUAAGUAGAAAUUAUUAGUUACACUGAUAACUAUUUCAUUUUUAAAAUGGAAAUUUUAAAACUAAAAAUGAUCAAAUAUUUUAUUUUAAACAUGUAAUCGAAAUGGAUGGAGGUUGUUCGGUAAAUGGAAUGUUUUAUUUUUAAGUUUUUUAAUUUUAAAGAAAUAGUCGAAUGAUUAGAUUUCUCACCUAGUUGAUAUUUGCCUUAAUGAGAUGCCAGCUAUAAGGAGUUGUUCAAGUAGUGCUUCAGUUCAAAUGUGCAUUCUACUAUUCUUAUAAUUACUCGAGUAAGGUGGGCUCCUAGUCAGUGUCUGUGAAAUUUUAGCUGUAUUGGCCUUGAUAAGUGUAGUUCGAAUGACUCUGGCAGAUGUGAGAAGAUAGAGACAGAAUUGGUACUGAAGUCAGGCAGGACUUGUCCUGGAAAAAUAUGUCAUCCAUGUUUAAUGUUUCACUUUUUGGUCUAUUAGGGAUAUCUCACUGAAGAUGCCUUGGCUGCUGUAAAAGAAUUGCUUCCAGAUUCAGCUGAAGGUGAUCUUGCAAAUGUUUGCUCCUGGGCUGAUGAAGUUCGAUUCCACAUGCGCUGGAGUAGUCCUUUACACUAUGUUGAUACACCAGAUUUCAUGUGUAACUACAAAUACUGCAGUAAGUUUGCUUAGUGAAUCCAUUCUGUGGUUUAGCGACGUGAACUCUUUUUUCUCUAAUGAGUUUUUCCAUGAGCUUCAUGAAACUAUUUCUUCUGUUAAUAUACAUCUUUCUUACAGGAGACUGUCAUGACUCUGUUGGGCGCAAGAACAGAUGUGUAACUGGAGCAAUAUACAACUACACCAUGCAACUCAAAUCUGGCUAUCAGGACUCUAUUUCAGUGGAAAAAUGUAAGCUUAUCACUAACGGAUAUUACAUUUUCAGGUGCUAUAAUAUAACUUUUCCUAUCUUAAAUGGCAAUAACAUGGGCUGUUUCCCUUUAUUGAUUAUAGACAAUUUAACAGAGGCGCUUAUGUUUUUAUCCCAUUUUAUUGGAGACGUGCAUCAGGUAUGCUCUUUUUACUGGGAAAUUGAAACACACACUGUAAUUCACUUUUCUUUUAAGUUUCUUUUUCUUGUGCCAGCCUCUACAUGUUGGUUUCAUUGGAGAUGAAGGUGGGAACACAAUAACAGUCCGUUGGUACCGUCGAAAGACAAACCUACACCAUGUAUGUUGUCUUUAGUCUCUUGUACAUUCUCAACCAUAUGAUCCACAAAUUUAGUAAAAAAGAAGAAAUUUGUGCAUUUUAAAAAACAGCAGGUUGCUUUUGGCAGAUCAAGGAUCCAAACUUGUAAAUUUUCUUAGAGAGAAUGAUGAAUUCCAUAAAUAAAAUGAUGUUCAAAACCUUAGGUUCUUGUGCAAAGCUUGAGAAUGUGUCUGAAAGAAUAACAUAUCGACAAUGUUAUAAUAAGUUCAUGUGAUGUAGGUCAUAUUUAUUCAAGAUAUUAAUCCAUUAAGAAAAACAGGUUCUAUUAUCCAUGAUAAGUGCUUCAGUGUGAUUGCAUUGAUUAUCCCCUGACCUUACAUCAGACUUUGAAGUAUUCUUUUGCCUCUACUUUCUUGUCUCCUGAUGGUUUUGCAAAGUAGAGUGAUGAUUUUCAAAUUGGGCCUGAUCAGUUUCAACCUUGUUUCUAGGAUAGCAGAUGAUUUUCAAAUUGUGCCUGUUCUGGAAUCUUGUGUUACUUGUUUGCAUAUCUUUCUUGAAUGUCAUUCAAGAAUUAUUCCGUUUCAGGUAUGGGAUACCAUGAUAAUUGAUUCUGCUCUGAAGACCUAUUAUGAUUCUGAUAUUGCAGUCAUGAUUCAAUCCAUUCAGAGGAAUAUUACGGUAUGCUUUUCCUUCCUUCACAGAAAUUUGCUGUUUUAUGGUCUUGCAUAGAUUUGUUUACUGUCAUUCAUUUCUCCGAAUGCAUGGCUUUGAACAUGGCUAUUUAAAGUUGAUAUUAACUAUUUUCUUUUUGUCUUGUUUGAUAUUUGUCUGCAGGAUGGUUGGUCCAAUGAUGUGUCAUCAUGGGAAAAUUGUGCAAAUAAUCAAACAGUUUGUCCUAAUGGGUAUGCACACAGCAUUCAAUUUCCUCUUCAUUGUUGUGUGGAUUCAUCUGGUUGAUUGCUUUUAAGCUGCUUGGUUUGCUAAAUAACUAGAAAAGUGCAGCUAGAAUUCACCAUCAUGAUAGAUAAUUAACGAGCUGAGGUUGUAGUAUAUAUUGCCCAUAUUAAUUUACAUAAUUAGAUGAUCAAAUACAUGGAUUCUAAAGGUGUUUCCAGGUUUUAUGUCGGCUGAAACUGCUGUAGCAAAUGUAUGAACAGCUUAAAUGCUUAAAAUGUAUGAACAAAAAAUUGAUUCCCCCUCUCAUCAUCACAAGCUGAAACUCCAUGUAUUUGUUACAUGGAAUGGGGAUCAGUGGACAUCAUUGGAUUCCUUUUCAUCUUGCAGAUACGCUUCUGAAAGUGUAAGUUUGGCAUGCAAGUUUGCAUACAGGAAUGCCACACCAGGAACCACUUUGGAAGGUAGUUUUCUAAUUAAAUGAAAAUUCCAUCUAAAUAAUUUAGAAGAGUAUUCUUUGAGUCUUUCUGAUCAUGUACAUGGCCAACUCAAUCCUGCAUGUUAAAAUCUGUCACAAUUGUUGCCAAGGCAUACGAAUUUGCCGUUAAGGCGCUAAAUGUCAUGUAACAUAUCAUUGCUUUCCAUGCACAGCAACUAGCUAGCAGUAGUUCCGUUUUCUAUCUUAUUUUAAUUCCUUGUUUUGAUUUGCUCUAGAUGAUUACUUCCUGACUCGAUUGCCUAUUGUGGAGAAAAGGCUUGCUCAAAGUGGCAUCCGCUUAGCUGCUACCUUAAACCGCAUAUUUUCUUCUCAAAUAAAAAUUGCUCAACUAUGAAGAUAGAAGGAAUAUAAGCACAAAUUCGGAGGGAUGGGCCCAGUACACCGUGUAUAUAGCUUGAAUUUCUUCAGCCAGAGAUUUCAUAUACAAUAUUAACAUUCCUUUAUCUUGCUGUCAACUCUUUCAAAACGAGCAAGGAACUGUACUUUAUGAUCACCCACCGAACCCAUUGCUCCAUUCAAGUGAGACUGUUAUGUGUCAGUAUAUUCCCGAAUAUGCCCAUCUUGCUUUUACCGUCGGCAACUUACACCUGAAAAUAUAGACAUAUUUUAAACUUGUACUCGGUGAUGACCACUUAUGUUUAUAUAUACACGCAUCUUGCGUUGUGCCGUAGAGUCAACUUUUAGGUACUUAAUAUGAAACUUGCACUCCAUGACAACCUCUUAUGAUGUGUUUAUAUUAUCAUAUGUAUGCGUGACAAAUACAUUUUACUGGGCUCAUUGUGUUUGCUGGCUGAUGUCAAUAUUGGAAAGACGAAGCAAGAAUUGAAUUAAGUAUUCAUAGAGAACGAGAGAGAAUAUGAGCCGAUGGGGGAUUGUGCCCUUUAAAAUUUGUUUUGUUUGUGAGUUUGGCUUUGGUUUUAGUGCCUGGGGCCUGGGGAUGGAGCAAGGAGGGUCAUAUUAUGACAUGUAGGAUCGCACAGGUAAUGCUAAUUUUAUUUUUCAGAUGAAAGUUAAAAAUGGUUAUUAAAAAAUGUAGAUAGAUAUCAACUUCUUUUAGCAUUUGAUGUGUUUUUUAGUCAUUUUAUUUUUAUUUUUUUGUUAUUUUCAAUUAAACCGUAUGUUUAUUAUAAGAUAAAUGCAAUAAAACCCUUUGAGGAUGCUUAAGCGCUCUCUUUGUCUAAGUUAAUUUUUGAUUUUGUGAUCCAGUCAUUUUGUUUUGAAUAAUUUUUUUUUUUUUUCGUUCUAUCUUUUUCUUCCUAUACUUUUAAAAAAGAGAUGAGCCAUAUUUGCAGUUUGUUCAAUAGGAUGAUAGGGGCCCUUGCAGUCGACGAAAAGUUAACAUGUAACUAAAUGAUCAUCUAAUUGAAGGAGUUUGGGGGAUUUAGAUGCAGAUCAUGCCCCAGAAAUUAUGCUUAAAGUCAGGAUAGAUAAUUUCUUUUUUUUGAAAAAAAAAAAAAGUUUCUUCAAAGAAAGUGAGAAACAUUAACACGAUCAAGAUAUUUGCUAGUUGCUACUCUGAAUAGAUAUCUUGCCUAUCAAUCACAAUUUUUACGCUUAUUGCAUUAAAUGAUGUAACAAAUGUCCAGGUAUCAUAUUCCGCGGACUUGGGUACAUCCUGGAGAAAACCUACUAGUCAUCCAUGAAGAGCUUGGCGGUGACCCUUCAAAGAUUUCUUUGCUUACGAAAACUGGCCAAGAUAUUUGUUCAUUUGUAUCAGAGGCUGAUCCUCCGCCAGUUGAUUCCUGGAAACCAAACCUAGGAGUCGUGUCUAGCAGCCCUCAAGUUCGACUGGCCUGUGAAAGAGGAUGGCACAUUGCUGCCAUUAAUUUUGCCAGCUAUGGCAUUCCUGAAGGAAACUGUGGCUCUUUCAGACCAGGAGCUUGUCAUAUGGACGCUUUACCAAUUGUUCAGAAGGUAACUCUGUUUUUACCAAUACGGACAUGUAGAUAUGUCAAUUGUCACCUCACUAGCAUAUGUCAUUUGCGGAAAGAUUUUUCAAUGAAGAGAUAGGGUAUUAGUAGUAAAUGAGGUUUUACUUUGUCAUUGAUUCUUAGGUUUUGAUUUGGAUGGAAAUUUCAGGCUUGCGUCGGCCAAGUUGAAUGUUCACUCCCUGUUUCCUGGGCUUACCUUGGUGUUAGUGCUGGCGCCUGCCCUGGCUUGUUAAAAGCCCUUGCCGUUGAAGCUCAUUGCAGCAUAUGAAAUCGGAAUUCGCUCCCACAGUAAAAGAUCAAAGGUAGAAUAACACUGACAACUCAUUGCCAACGACGUGACGUUCGCUGCUUUUCUUUUUUGUUCCUUUUUUUUGAAAAAAAACAUUCUUGAAUAGUUGUGUGAGAUGUAUUUUAAAAUUUAAAUAAUAUAUCUUUUCUUAAUUCGUUGCUGGUGUAAAUGAAAAAAAAUAUAUUAUAGAAUUAUGAAUUUUAUUGUUGUUGAAUGAAUUAUGAAUUAUGUAACUUUUCAAGCCAUCAUUACAACAUAAAUGUUUCAAGAAAGUAGUUGCCAUAUUUAUUUAUUUACGAAGGUUUAACCAGAAGGAAGUAAUUCAAGAAAGCUUAACAAACUGAUGCCGCGCUCUCAAUUGUCUUCUUAACGAAAAUAUGUUCAUUCCAUAAACCUUAUGCAAUUCUCACCAAGUAUUUAGAGCAUUUUACAAACAACAUGAACUUACAUAACUGUAUGCACAAUGACACAAGGUUCAUGGAACAAGCAUAAUCUUCCCGUUAUGCUGGCUACUUUCCAUGAGCUGGUGAGCUUCGGCUGCUUCACACAGCGGAAGAUACUUGUAGAUCACAGGCUUCACCUUCCCCACUGCUAUUGCAGGCCAAACAUUCUUCUCCACCUCCGAUACAAUUAAUGCUUUGUUUUCUGUACUUCUGCUUCGCAAGCCAGCCGCUGUGCAUUAAACACCAAUUAUAUAGACCCAUUAAUCAUACAUCUCUCUCAAAUAACUCUAGUAAACACACCCCGAAAGAAGAAUAAAGAAAAUGGUAUAUCAGAGAUGUGUUGAGAGUCCCAGAAGAAAUUCAGUUUAGAAGUAACUUCGUAUAUUUUUGCAUAUCCAAUCAGAUAUUUCAGUUUAAUUGCUAUCUGAAAGCUGAUAUACAAGGCAUAAAAAUCACAAAGCUUCUGUUAAAGAAUAAAAGGAAACUCAUUAAGGAAAAACCAUGACAGAAAUUAGAUUCAGAAACUAGGUUAUCAAUUGAUUCCCCAAAAAAUUUUGCUGGAAUCAAAACCUACGAACCUUUUAAGGGUUAAGUCAACCCAAUUUCUUAAAAUUAAUUACUAUGCUAAAUACAACUAACAUGUGACCGUAAGGGGAACUUCACAUGGACUUCUUUACCAUUGCUAGCGUAAAAAUUCAUCCAAUUGAAAAAGUUGGAUUCCAAUAUAGAUACUAUGUUUAAUUGUAAAAAAGAAGGGGAAAAAAAGCACCUUGGAUUGGGAAAAAAAAAAAAAGGAACACCAAGGCCCAGUAAUCAAGGGCACAAUACCUUGUACAGUGAGGCGCUUGGCAAACAGAGAAGUUAUGUUUAAUUCUGUUUUAGCUCCACCCUGGGUUCCAAUUAUGAAAAGCCUCCCAUCAAUGUUCAAGCUGUCGAGGUUACGCUGAAAGUAGGAUGCUCCUAUGCAAUCUAGAAUUACGUCAACACCUAGGCACAAGCAUUAAUACAUAUCCAUCAGUCGUGAACAGAAAGAGACAGAAUGAUCUUUAUCCAGGAGUACAACUUCCAGGUUAAAACAAAAUGCAUUCAUAAUGCUAUUAAACACUAAACACACCUUUACCACCAGUUUCUUCCUUCACUCGUGCAACAAAAUCCUCAGUCUUGUAAUUGAUGCACACAUCCGCACCAAGAUCCUUGCAAAAAGCCAGUUUUUCCUCACUCCCUGUAGAUCAAUAGCUAAAACCUAUGAACACACAAAUAUUGAAUGGUGGACAUAAGAUGAGCCUUGUGGCCAAACCUGCUGUAACAAAGACUCUCACUCCUUGGCAUUUUCCCAUCUGAAUCGCAAAUGUACCAAUUCCACUAGAGCCCCCAUGAACCUGAUAGUUUAAUAGCCAUUAGUUCAUGCAUUAAGCUUCAUAACAUAUAUAUUUCAGUGGCUUAGCAGACAAAGAGAUUGAAUAUCCUUUGCAUCACGUAUAUCAUACAUUUUUUAUGUAUCAGACAGAAAUUUGAACCCUCAGAUACUUGUACACUAGACUAGGGAUCUUCAGCUUUAAAGCAAUUGUUAUCUGCCAGUCAAUGUUUACUGCCCAACAUAGUGGCUGCAGAGGUGUUGGACAAAUAUACAAUACAGGAUUUGGACUCUAAUUAAGUUUUAACCAAGUAAGGAUGAGAUUACAAGUCACACCCGUGUUGAUAACAUAUUGAAGGUAAAACUUAAAAAGAAAGUUUCUAAGCAGUAAUAUCUAUUCAAGCGCAACAAUAAAUCGUUCCAAUUUGAAGAAUUAGAACCUAUUUCCACCAUGUUUUGGAUAUCAAAUAUUCAUCUUUACUGGGCAACUAAGCCAUAAUGCAGACUUUGGGAAUUACAGUCAUACAUAACAAGCCGGACAAUUAAACUAUUUCAGAACGUCAACAGGAACAUAGCAAUCAUCACAAUAUUUGCUCCGAUAAAUCAAAAUUAAACUUAAAAUCGUACAUCAGAAUACGAGAUAGAGCAAAAAUCUACCAGAAAUGACUCCCCUGGGGAUAGGUGACUGGUCAUGAAAACCGUUGACCAAACAGUGCAGGCCACCUCCGGAAACGCAGCAGCAUCUUUGAGUGAGACACCAGAUGGAACGGGAAGAACUUGUCCAGCUGGAACAGCCACUUUCUCAGCAUACCCUCCUCCACCAAGCAGAGCACACACCUAUUCAACAAAAUUUAUCACGACCCACAGUGAGCAGCUUCAAAGUUCAUAUCCCCUUUAAUAUUAAAAAUAUGAUUCAAUUACACAUAACUGCGUCUAAAAAAAUAUAGAGUUCAGUAUACAAAAAGUUCACAACUUUUGAAUUGUUGAGAAAAAGAAAGAAGAACCCACUUCAAAAAAAAAAAAAAUCUGUAAUUUUACACUAAACGAGAAAAUUACUAAGUAAUAGAAAUGAAAAAUUAAGCAACCUGGUCGCCGACUUUCCAUCUAGAGACGUUUUUACCAACGGACAGGAUGGUUCCGGAACAUUCGAGACCCAGGUGAGGGCUGGCGCCUUUGGGUGGAGGGUAGGAGCCUUUUCGUUGAAGAGUGUCGGCCCGGUUCAGGGCAGUAGCUUCGACUUUGAUCAACACUUCGUCAUCUUUGAUUUGAGGGUCUUCUACUUCUUGCAACUGCAGCACUUCUGGGC